rnacentral:rRNA from 1 species
GAUGAACGCUGGCGGCGUGCCUAAUACAUGCAAGUCGAGCGAACAGAUGAGGAGCUUGCUCCUCUGACGUUAGCGGCGGACGGGUGAGUAACACAUGGAUAACCUACCUAUAAGACUGGGAUAACUUCGGGAAACCGGAGCUAAUACCGGAUAAUAUAUUGAACCGCAUGGUUCAAUAGUGAAAGACGGUUUUGCUGUCACUUAUAGAUGGAUCCGCGCCGCAUUAGCUAGUUGGUAAGGUAACGGCUUACCAAGGCGACGAUGCGUAGCCGACCUGAGAGGGUGAUCGGCCACACUGGAACUGAGACACGGUCCAGACUCCUACGGGAGGCAGCAGUAGGGAAUCUUCCGCAAUGGGCGAAAGCCUGACGGAGCAACGCCGCGUGAGUGAUGAAGGUCUUCGGAUCGUAAAACUCUGUUAUUAGGGAAGAACAAAUGUGUAAGUAACUAUGCACGUCUUGACGGUACCUAAUCAGAAAGCCACGGCUAACUACGU